GUCGUUGGCUAAGUCCGUUCGG
rnacentral:snRNA from 1 species